rnacentral:rRNA from 1 species
UACGGAGGGUGCAAGCGUUAUCCGGAUUUACUGGGUUUAAAGGGUGUGUAGGCGGGUCUAUAAGUCAGUGGUGAAAUCUCCGGGCUCAACCCGGAAACUGCCAUUGAUACUAUAGGUCUUGAAUAUUGUGGAGGUGGGCGGAAUGUGUCAUGUAGCGGUGAAAUGCUUAGAGAUGACACAGAACACCGAUUGCGAAGGCAGCCCACUACAACACUAUGCGCUGAGGCACGAAAGCGUGGGGAGUCAAACAGGA